AGCCUUCCCGGAUAGCAGGUCCUGCGACAUACCCAGGCAUCACAGUGGAGCUGGCCUGGAGGCAGGGCCUUCAGCUGGCCGUGAGGACUUUCCCCACCUGCUGCCCUUGAACCACCCUUCUGGCAAGCACCCGGAGAUCCUGUUUUCUGUGCCAAGGAGCAAAAUUGCUUGGCAGCUUUUCUCUGAUACAUUGAGUGGUGAGCUCCUCAAAGACUGGUGCUAUCUUCUUCACAGGGGCCUUGGCUCACUGUUUACACCCCAAAUAGGCAAUGUAUGCUUCUGGAGUCAGCUGUAGACAAAGGCAGUGUCCUAGACUUGGGGACGGUGAGGCAGGUUUUAUUAGGGUGUGAGUUGGGGUAGAUUUCAAGAAAAAGUAAUAUGGACCGGGCUAGCAAGAUGGCCUGAUAGAUAAAGGUGCUUGUCAACAAGCCCACAAAGAUAAGAAGAGGGCAUCAGAUUCCCUGGCCUUGGAGCUACAGAUGGUUCUGAGUCACCACGUGGGUAUUUGGAAUCAAACAUGGGUCCUUUGAAAAAGCAGCCAGUAACUUCUGAGACUUCAGUGCGGUGGCAGGAGAAACUGGUUUCUGAGAGUUUCACCGGAAGAGGAUUCCUGACUCCUGAGACUUGUCCCCUGACAGAGACACUCAUGCAUAUAUACAGACAAAAUAGAUAAAAAAUAAAUUAGUAUGUUGAAAUACACAAAAUUUUCUCUCAAGUAUGUUGGUUUCACUCUUUAUGUUGAUUGAUUAAUACAGGAGACGUUUGUCCUAAAUGUUCUUUUACAUGGUAAAGAUACUUUCUCUUUAUUGAUUUAUUUUUCUUUUUAUUUAAUGAUUUAUUUAUUUAUUUAUUUAUUUAUUUUAUGUAUAUGAGUACACACUGCAGCUGCCUUCAGACACACCAGAAGAGGGCAUCGGAUCCCAUGACAGAUGGUUGUGAGCCACCAUGUGGGUUGCAGGGAAUUGAACUCAGGAUCUUUAGAAGAGCAGCCUGUGUUCUUAACCGCUGAGCUAUUUCUUCAGCGCAGAGAUACCUUCUUGUUUUACAUUUAUAACUUUCAGUGAAAAAGACUUACAAAGAAGACCAGUUUUCUAAAAUGAGUGUCAACAGAAAACAAAAUUAAAAGACAAAUGACAACUGGAAAAACAUUGAUAACAUAAAAUAAGGAGCUAAUGGGGCUGGAAAGGAGGCUCAGUGGUUAGGAACAUUGGCUGACCUUCCGGAGGACCUCAGUCCAGUUCCCAGCUACUGUGGCAGCUCCUAACCUUUCAUAGCUCCUGCUUCUGGGAUCUGAAGCCCUCUUCUGGCCUCUGUUGGCACGAGGCAUGCAUGUAGCGCAAGACAUAACACACAAAAUUAAAUGAAAAUUUUU
rnacentral:lncRNA from 1 species